rnacentral:lncRNA from 1 species
AACCUAGUGUGGUGGCUGGCAGAGAGCGAGGACUGAAAAAUGUUCGUUGAAAGGAUGAAGGAACGACUGAUAGCUGCGUUUCCUGGCACACACGGUGCUUCCUAAGUCAUGGUUUAGGGCUACAUGAGUGAACGGCUCCGCUGCAUCCCAGCGUUGUGUCUCUACGAGAGCCAUGGCUGCUGGAGCGUUGCUGUCAGGGCUGAGGCAUCACGAUGCUUCUGUGUCCUGCGCCGCAUUCUAAAGGCUGCUGUGUGAGGGUCAGAGCCACCCGGACGCAGAUGCUUCCUCUUCCAAAGGACGCAGCUCCGAUGUGCCUUCUGGGAGGCACCACAGAGAUGCUUGGCACGCGUCUCCCACUGCCCUUCCUUCUCGACUUCACUGCAGGAAUCGCCCUGCAGUGGCACCACUUCUUCUCAAGUCUGACAGUAAGCCCCUGCAGACCAGAUGCCACAUCUUCCUACAGGUGCUGGAGAGGAGGGCGUAGCCUCCAUGUAGCCCUCAGUGAACGACAGACCCGAGGCAUCCACCAAUGCUCAUUAAAGUGGUUUCCAAGCGUUCCAGAAUAUGUGGGAGAAAAUAUACCCUUGGAAAUGUUGAAAUGUUUUAUAAGCAAGCACAUCCAGUUCCUGGGCAGCUCCAACUUGCUUGGCUCUCAUUUGCCCGACGGCUCAGCUGCAAUGCUGCCAAGGAAAACAGUCAUUGAAAGUCACACAGGAAGGAUGCCUUUCCCAGCUUCUCCCUCACGCCUCUCGGUGGUACCAUGUGGGUCACUCUUGCUGUGGAAGGCCCAGCCCAGUGAGAUUGGAUCUGAUUGUUUGUUGGUGUCAUUUAUGUCUGCAAUAGAUGUCUAA